CUACAAAACAGCCUGCUAGCAUUGAUUCUUGCAAUAAAAAAAAUAAGUCUGGCAUCAUUCAUAAAAAGCUUAUAGACUUAGAUAAUUUCUUAGUCCUGCACUGGUUCUCACCAGUGAGAUUAUAGAUGUGGUAUUUUGAGAAUACCAGUGUAAUUCACUGGUCCAAAAGCUCCAUUUCUUAAUGUGUUUUUGCAGAAUGCUACCAGUAAUGUUUUUCUUUUCCUUAAUGUACAAACAUAUCUAUUAGAUAUGAUUUUGGAUCUGAACUUUUCCCUGUCUGCAGCUCACAUUGUGGUAUGGUCAUGGUACAGCAAAAGGAAAAGAUGUUUAAACUUUUUUUGGGCGUCAUACAUGAAAAGUACCUUUAUUUCCAUUGAGCUUAAUUACUAAGAAAAUGUUACCACUAUUUCCUUACUAAUAAACCUAAAUGUUCUGAAAGUUCGGUCUCUUGCUCUCUUUGCUUAUGAAUCGGACACUUUACCUUUCUUUAAUCCUUACACGGUUCCACCUCGCUUUGACUGCAUACUUUGAUGGUGUUUGUAGGUAUGGAGAGUGGUCAUAAUGUUACUUAAAGGAGGCCUCAACUUGCACCAAAUACAUGGGCAUGUGCAACAGCAACUUAUGUAGUUUGUACAAUCUCUAAAGAUGGUGCUCCAUUGUUCUGUUAAUCAAGAUUUGUUCCCUCCUUUCUUACUAGCUGAUACGUGAUGACCGUUUGCAUGGGGGGUUAUGUUAACUAUAUUCUAUUCAUGAUUCAAAUUGUUUGUUAGGUAAUUUAGUUUAGACAUUGUGUCCUGAGAAUCUUGAUAUCUAGCUGUAUCGGUAUAGUAUAGUUUGUGAUUUUUCCCUCUGAAUUUAUAUAUCCACUCAGGUUGGGAUAGGUUAUGAGUA